rnacentral:lncRNA from 1 species
CUCUCUUGGGUACGAUCCUCGGAGUACUUACCUACUUCAUUGAAAAAUCUAUAUUAAAACUCGACCAGUAUACUUGCAGAUACCGCCUCGUAAUUCUUUAUUCUAUUGCAGUAUUCACACUCUGGACGUUAGUAUAUCCGGAGGUGGUCAGAACCCUAUGUUAUAUAAAAUGACAUUAUAUGCUAACCAUCAUGUUAUAUAGUAUGACACAAUAUGUGAAUCCUCAUCUUAUAUAGUAUGUGAUUUAAUAUGUGCAAACCCUAUAUGUACAAACCUUAUAUGUGCGAACCUUUUAUGUGCAAACCCUAU